CCCUCAGAUCUCAUAGCUAAAAAAAUCAUCUACGGCUUUAGUCACAGGCUUUGUUCACAGCCUUCUUGCACCAUCCCACAUUAAUUAGUGUACAUAUAUAUAUAUAUAGAGAGAGGUAGAGAAAGAGAGACGCACACACACACACAGACGGGGGGAGAGAGAGAGAGAGAGAGAGAGAGAAUGAGAAUGGUGCAGAUCCAGUUACGAACAUAAUCAUGUAGCCGUUCAAUAGGUUUAUUUUUCCAUCACUGGGCAGCAUAAAAGACAACUAUCUACACUUCAAUUAAAUCAAUUCAUAAAGUAAAAAUGUGUUCUCAGCUCCAGAAAACCCUAGACCAAAAUUUUGGUAAAUCAAUUCAUAUAUAACAAGCUAAACCCUUUCAGAUUUUACCAUCUUACAGGUUUUAAUUGUUAUUUUAUCUGUCAAACCAUUAGAGAAAAGAAAGAACAAAAGAUGUAAAAAAAUACCAAUCAAUGAAGAAAAUGGCAAAGGCAAAUCUAACAUGAUGCUAUCAUAGAGCCUACGCAGUGCUACUCAAUCACCAGGCAAAUGCAAACUAAACAAAUCUACUUAAAAGAAAAAAAGGGAAGGUGAGGCAAAAGCGAGAAAAUGCCCUCAGACCUCAUGACUUAGAACAAAUCACGCAGUUUAAAGACAAUGGUGUUCAUCAAUAGCCUUCACAAACCACCACACAUGUGAAUAAAUAAAUAAAUGAGAAGGAGGUGGUGGUAGUGGCAGCGACGGUGGUGAACUGGUGAUUAGGGAAAAGCCAAUGAACAAUCAAAAACCAUUGAGAAACUGCUCAAUGCAGUUUGAGUUGUGCAUCAUUGGGCUUCAUCUUAAUUAUGAAAAUAUUACUCCUAAUAAAAUCCCCCUCUCCCUAUCCAAAACCCAUGAGGUCUGCGAAAAAAGAAGGCAUAAGCAAGUGAUCAUCUCAUUCCUUCCAACGUUAAAACAAUAUCUCCUAGCUUUAAUUUCUCCUUUUCUUUUAAUAGAUACCCUACCCAUGUAUGAUAAUUAUUCUAACUCAAAGAACCAACUUUGCCCUCAGAUAUCUCCUAUUGGUACUUUCUCAACAUUCAAAAAAGCCUCUCAACAUCCAUCAGAGCACAUAAGACCCACAGCCUCAACCAUCUCUACCCACUGCCAGCAAUAAAACCAACAACAACAACAACAACAACAACAACAAGGAGAAAAAGAAGCAGAAGGAGAAACAAGAGGAAGUGGAAGAAAAGCAGUAGCAACAGCAGCAGAGUUAGUGAUGGCAGUGGGAAGAAAGGCAAAGAGAUGGAAAGGCUUUGAAUAAUAUUCACAUUACCAUAUCUCACAAUAAGCAUUCGUCAUUGGGCAUAUCCAGAAGAAAUAUGACAAUCAAAAUUCAGGACAUUGAAAAAGUUAAUUAGCACUCUUCCAUGAAGCAAAGAUACCAGAAUUGAAGAGUGAACACUAGCAACAUACAACUUUAAAGAACUAUCCAAAAGUAUGAAAAAAGCAAAAAGGAAGGUAAAUUCACUCACGAAAAUGAAAUAAUGGAUAACCAACUGAUUUAUAAUUAUACAAAAUCAAAAUAAAAGGAAAUGAAGUGAAAGCUUUGUGUGAGUGAAUCUCUGAGAUGACAAAAGAAAUUAAGGGAACAAAAACAUGAGUCUUCUUGUGUGAGAACAGAGCCAUUGCCCAUUACCAAAGGGUUUGUUAAAAACACAGGCUACCGUCAAGGACAGAAAGCUGCUAGAGAAGUCCAAUUUUGCUGAUAACCAUUUCAAAGAUAUCAAGAUCUCAAUAUGAAAAGCAUGGCCUUCAAAAGCAAUUGAUAUAUGCUGAGUUUGGGCACCCACAAGAGAUUGUUCAGAUACAAACAUUGUGAAAGGCAGAAACAAUAUGUAAAUUAUUUGUAAGUGUUAACUGCAAGGAGACAAGGAUAAACAGCAGAGCGCCCAAAAGAUAAAGACAGUUCUUUUAUGCAAGCUCCCAAACUGUCCAUGAGAUAAUUCAAAAUCAAGAUACUACCACAAUGCUACACUAUGCAAAGAAAACACUGUUCCAAAUUUGCUCAUAGAGACAAUUCCAAGCAGAACAGGAUGAAAAUUGGAAUAUUAUGGCAUAUCAUAUGUCCAAGGGGCUUUUCCCUUUAUUUUUUGAAACAAAAAUAGUCAGGGUUACUAGAGCAUCAAAUAUAUAAUGCCACACAGUUUUCAAAUGUUAAUAAAAUAAAAAAAGCAUGUAAGCAAUUAACAUGUCUAAGAAGAACAAUUGAAGAAUGGUCGCCGAUGAUCGAGAACGACAAGUAUUGCCAAAUAAAUAAAUAAAACAAUGGGAUGCAUAACCCUCAGAUCUCAUAAAACGGAUCAUCUACGGCUUUAGUUACAGGCUUCGUUCACAUCCUUCUCGCACCAUCUCAUAUGAUUAUAUGAAUGUAUGUAUGUAUGUGUGUGUGUAUAUAUAUAUAGAGAGAGAUAGAUAGAUAGAUAGAGAGAUAGAGAGAGAGAGAGAGAGAGAAUGGUGCAGGUCCAGUUAUGAACAUAACCAUGUAGCCGUUCUCCAGUUUAUUUUUCCAUCAUUGGACAGCAGCAUAGAAGACAACUUGCUACAUUUUCAAUUAAAUAAGCUCAGAAAACCCUAGACCAAAAUUUAGGUCACUCAGAUAUAUAACAUACAAAACCCCUUCAGAUUUUACCAUCUUACAGGUUUUAAUUGGUAUUUCAGCCGUCAAACAAUUUGAAAAAAGAAAGGACAAAGUAUGUAAAAGAAAAUGGCAAAGGCAAAAUCUAACGUGGUGAUAUCAUAGCGCCUACACAGUGCUACUCAAGCAUCAGACACAUGCAAACAGAACAAAACCUUAUUUAAAAGAAAAAAAAACGGUGAAGUGAGGUAAAAGCGAGAAAAUGCCCUCAGAUCUCAUAGCUUAGAAUAAAUCACGCAGUUUAAAGACAAUGGCGUUCAUCAAAAGCCUUCACAAACCACCACAUAUGUGAAUAAAUAAAUAACAUUUUCCGAUUAAAAAAUAAAUAAAUAAAGGAGGAAGAGUUGGUGGUGGUGGUGGAGGUGGUGGUUAGGGAAAAGCCAAUGACAAAUCAAAAACCAUUGAGGAACUGCUCAAUGCAGUUUGAGUUACGCAUCAUUGGGCAUCAUCUUCGUGUUAGAACAAUACAUGAAAAUAUUAAACCACAGAAAACCUAAACUUUCAACGAAAAAAGAGUGAAAAGUGAAAACAAAAAACGGAGUAGUGACGGAAAGGAUUUGAGUUUUGACACAGGGACUCCUCGUAUGAUCGCGUGGGCUUUAAGUCGAGCCAGCUCGUAUUUGGGCUGCUAUGUAUAUGGGCGUUUUACAAAAUCGACCAAGAAAUAAAAAGAGUAACGCUCUUUUUAUUUACACCUCCAUUUUUUCUAAGUACAUCCCCGC
rnacentral:lncRNA from 1 species